rnacentral:tRNA from 1 species
UUUAAGAUGGCAGAAAAUUGUGCUAGAUUUAGGAUUUAGUCAUGAAGCUAAAGCUUCUCUUAU